AGCUCCAAUAGCGUAUACUAACGUUGUUGCAGUUAAAAAGCUCGUAGUUGGAUUUCUGAUUCUUGUCGUUGGUUGGGCGGCCGCGUGUCGCUCGCCUCGCACAGGAGUCAACAUAUGUCACGAGCCAGUGUGAUCUAUUCAUUUAGGUCCGCUGGGUAAUGACUCGUUUACUUUGAGAAAAUUAGAGUGUUCAAAGCAGGCAUUUGCCUUGAAUAUGUUAGCAUGGAAUAAUAGCAUAGGACUUCGGUUCUAUUUGUUGGUUGUUCGAGAACUGGAGUAAUGAUUGAUAGGGACGGUUGGGGGCAUCUGUAUUCUCAAGCGAGAGGUGAAAUUCUUGGACCUUGGGAAGACAAACAGCUGCGAAAGCGUUUGCCUAGGACGUUCUCU
rnacentral:rRNA from 1 species